rnacentral:misc_RNA from 1 species
AUAUAAGAGACAGGUGAAUCAUCGAAUCUUUGAACGCACAUUGCGCCCGCCAGCAUUCUGGCGGGCAUGCCUGUCCGAGCGUCAUUUCAACCCUCAGGCUCCCGCGCCUGGCGUUGGGGAUCGGCCUUCACCGGCCGGCCCCGAAAUACAGUGGCGGCCCCGCCCGUGUACCUCUGCGUAGUAGCACAACCUCGCAGCUGGGAGCGGCGGCGGCCACGCCGGAAAACCCCCGACUUCUGAAAGUUGACCUCGGAUCAGGUAGGAAUACCCGCUGAACUUAAGCAUAUCAAUAAGCGGAGG